UACGGAAGGGGCAAGCGUUGUUCGGAAUCAUUGGGCGUAAAGGGUGCGUAGGUGGCGUCGUAAGUCGGGUGUGAAAUUUCGGAGCUUAACUCCGAAACUGCAUUCGAUACUGCGGUGCUUGAGGACUGGAGAGGAGACUGGAAUUUACGGUGUAGCAGUGAAAUGCGUAGAGAUCGUAAGGAAGACCAGUGGCGAAGGCGGGGUCUCUGGACAGUUCCUGACACUGAGGCACGAAGGCCAGGGGAGCAAACGGG
rnacentral:rRNA from 1 species